GAGCCAGGUAGAGUGGUGUCACCUUUAAUGCAGCACUUGGGAGGCAGAAGCAGGGAGAUCUCUGAGUUCCAAGACAACCAGGGCUACAAGGAGAAACCUUGUCUCAACAAAACCAAAAUUAAUUAAUCACAGAUUGGAAAUUAAUUAAUUAAGUGCCUCAUCGAACAAAAAUAAGUGAAGAGCUUAGGAAGGUCCUUAGGAAUGGCACUGGAGGAUGCCCUCUGACCUCCACAUGCGCACAUAAACACACAAAGUACAAUAAAUUUUAAUUAUUAAUUAACUAUAAACAGACUUGAGGGAAAUGAAUGAUGAGCUAGAGUGGUAGGCUGACUUAAAAUUAGAACAAGGCAGACUUCUUCCCCAACUGCUUCCCCAGGUUUCCCUGGGGAUUUGCAAACAUUUGCCAACCUCCCCUGUUUCCCAAGCCUGAACUUCAAAGGCCACAGAGGACUGCUGGCAUUUCCUGGUUCUGUGACACCCUGGUCCCCCCUGGUAUGAUGAAGCUCAGAGCCUGCCAGAGCUUCUUCUGGGAGCACUACACCAGACCACAUAACGCCCACGAGGCUACGGUUUCCUGGAAUCCCUCGCUGGAAUCCACGAGGAGUCACUGGGUCGAAUUCCUAAGACCUCCCGUUUGUGACCAGAAAGG
rnacentral:lncRNA from 1 species